UUCAGCUCAGCGCUUAGUUCAGCUUCUAGCUCCUGCAUUUCUGGCCAAGAAGUUACCUACAGACCGUGCUGAUUCUACUCACUGUUUCACAGCAGAGCCUGGGCGCUGGCUUUAUCGUUUCCUGGGCCUGUGCUUACCAACAAACUCCCUUCAGCCUCUCUGAGCCUCAGUUCACUGCUGGCAAGCAGCCGGGAUCGGACCCACGACGAGGACAAUUAGGAAGAAACCGCGGAUGCAGGGGGCGUGGACGACCUCGUCACAAAUCGAUUCUCCAAAUGUGCCUCUGAAAGUGCAGACGUUUACCGGGAGUGUGCAUCUCAAAGCUGGCCGUCACACAUCUCUGUCCGAAAGGGCUUGCUUACAGUAUUCCACCCUGUGAUUGAGAAGGGAUCGAAGUCGCAAAGCUGACAACUUGGAUGCAGUUUGACAGAGGAGUCUCCACUGUAUAUAAGAUGACAGGGUUGAAGAGUGUUAUUGGUGACUACAAUCUGUGUGAUGUUUUGGGCGAACUGGACUUAACGUGCAUUCAAUAUCCUUAAAGCAGUUUGUUACCGCUUCCUCUUCUGUGAGUCCUCUGGGGUUUGGAUAGAGUAACUUUUAAAAGGGCAACAGCAACAAUGAAACCAACUUGGGCAAAAGUUUCCACCUCUUACUGUCCUCCUCUGAAAUCAUUAUAGGUUUCUGGAUCUCUGAGAGUAGAGAGUGCAACAAUCACCAGAGAAUUAGUAUCCAGCCGAUUCUUUUAUUUUUUUAUUGUGGAUUCCGAAGCAGCAAAUAUUUAGCGACAAGUAAAACGUAAUAAAGAAUGUAGCUGUUUUAGUUUCUAAGUAGUGUGGACUGGUUUGUGACCCCUUGCAGGCAAGAACACUGGAGUGGGUUGCCAGUUCCUCCUCCAGGGGAUCUUCCCAAACCUGCAUCUCUCCUCAACUGCAGGUAGAUUCUUUAAUGCUAAGCCACCCAUAAAGAAUACUAGGGUUGAAACUGCUGAACGAGCUGAGCUAUCCUGAUGACUUCUAAACACUGAACAGCAUCCUGA
ensembl:lncRNA